GAUGAACGCUGGCGGCGUGCCUAAUACAUGCAAGUCGAGCGAACAGAUGAGGAGCUUGCUCCUCUGACGUUAGCGGCGGACGGGUGAGUAACACGUGGAUAACCUACCUAUAAGACUGGGAUAACUUCGGGAAACCGGAGCUAAUACCGGAUAAUAUAUUGAACCGCAUGGUUCAAUAGUGAAAGACGGUUUUGCUGUCACUUAUAGAUGGAUCCGCGCCGCAUUAGCUAGUUGGUAAGGUAACGGCUUACCAAGGCAACGAUGCGUAGCCGACCUGAGAGGGUGAUCGGCCACACUAGAACUGAGACACGGUCCAGACUCCUACGGGAGGCAGCAGUAGGGGAUCUUCCGCAAUGGGCGAAAGCCUGACGGAGCAACGCCGCGUGAGUGAUGAAGGUCUUCGGAUCGUAAAACUCUGUUAUUAGGGAAGAACAAAUGUGUAAGUAACUAUGCACGUCUUGACGGUACCUAAUCAGAAAGCCACGGCUAACUACGUG
rnacentral:rRNA from 1 species